AGCAGCAGCUCCCGCAUGCACUCAGCCACGUGCAGGACAGUGUCGGGGACCUGGGACUGGAGCUGCAUGGAGAGAGAAAGGAGGGGCACCAGGAGCUGCGUAUCCCACAAGAUACAGAGAAGCACCAGGAUUGGGAUGCUGUCCCCACACCACACGGGGCUCUGCACGCUGCCGGGUGGCACAGCCCUACCUAGGUGCCAGUGAAUUGUUGGGCAUGAAGGCGAAGUCCAGGAGGGGAAAGAAAUCCUUGGGUCCAAUCAUGCCAAAGCCUUUGGUCAGAUUUGAGUGCACCCUGCAAAGCAGAGGGCGCACAAACACGCUCCAUGAGCACAAUGCAGGUGAAAGGACACCACGGCCCAGCAGGUUCUGCCCAUGUCCAGGCACACACCCGAGGGGCAACUCACGUCAACAGACGGUCCAGGUAGGAGACAGCGUAUGGGGAGAGCGCCUUGAUGCCGAGCACGGGGAGCAUCACACCGAGCCACACUGUGGAGAGAAGCAUCAGCUCCGGGACUGCGGCCAGCAUAAGAACCAGGCAUGUUCCAGGGAGCCAGAAAUGGGCUCUGCUGGCUGAGCUCCAGCAGGAGAAAAUAAUAAAGCACUUCCCAGUGUUUACAGUGGUGACACUGAAAUA